rnacentral:rRNA from 1 species
CCUACGGGAGGCAGCAGUAGGGAAUAUUGGACAAUGGGCGCAAGCCUGAUCCAGCCAUCCCGCGUGAAGGAUUAAGGCCCUCUGGGUUGUAAACUUCUUUUCUCUGGGAAUAAAAACCGGUAUUCAUAUUGGCUUGAAGGUACCAGAGGAAUAAGCACCGGCUAACUCCGUGCCAGCAGCCGCGGUAAUACGGAGGGUGCAAGCGUUAUCCGGAUUCACUGGGUUUAAAGGGUGCGUAGGUGGCUUUGUAAGUCAGUGGUGAAAUGCCGCAGCUCAACUGCGGAACUGCCAUUGAUACUGCUUAGCUUGAAUCACGUCGAGGUGGAUGGAAUAAUACAUGUAGCGGUGAAAUGCUUAGAUAUGUAUUAGAACACCGAUUGCGAAGGCAGUUCACUAGGCGUGUAUUGACACUGAGGCACGAAAGCGUGGGGAUCAAACAGGAUUAGAUACCCUGGUAGUCCACGCCCUAAACGAUGUAAACUCGACAUUAGCGAUAUACUGUUAGUGUCCAAGCGAAAGCGUUAAGUUUACCACCUGGGAAGUACGACCGCAAGGUUGAAACUCAAAUGAAUUGAGG